UACGUAGGGGGCAAGCGUUGUCCGGAAUCAUUGGGCGUAAAGAGCGUGUAGGCGGCCCGAUAAGUCCGCCGUGAAAGUCCAGGGCUCAACCCUGGAAUGCCGGUGGAAACUGUCGGGCUGGAGUCCGGAAGAGGCGAGUGGAAUUCCUGGUGUAGCGGUGAAAUGCGCAGAUAUCAGGAAGAACACCCGUGGCGAAGGCGGCUCUCUGGGACGGUACUGACGCUGAGACGCGAAAGCGUGGGGGGCGAACAGG
rnacentral:rRNA from 1 species